ACUUGAAUAGCUUAUAAUUUAGAGCGCGACACUGAAGAUGUCGAUGAGGCGGCUUGCCUUCGAGUA
rnacentral:tRNA from 1 species